GUGACCCUGGGUUCAAUCCUCAGUACCAAAAAUGAAUAAACAAAUAAGUAAAUAAAUAAAUAAAUAGAAUCAAUAAGAGCACAAGAAAUGUUAGCACCCCUUUUCCCCCCCUCCCCCAGAUCCUGCCUCCAUGUGAAGUUUCCCCUGAGUAUCUUCUUUCCUUCCACCUACUGGUUAAUUAAGUCAUUCUUUUUCCUCCUGUCAUAAGGAUUGUGCCACUGUUGCUCCUGUAUCACACCCAUUUGUCACAGAAGUUCUUAACCUCUGGGCAGUUUUAAACACCUUCCUAAAAAAAAUCCACCUAUGCACACAGACACACAAACUGCCUCUUUACUUGUUUAGUUAGUUUGGGGGGUUGGUUUGUUUUGUUUUACAGUGCUAGGGCUUGAACCCAGGGACGCUUUACCACUGAACUACAUCUCUAACCCUUUUUCAAUUUUAUGUUGAGACAGGAUCUUCCUAAAUUGUUGAAGCUGUCCUCCAAUUUAAAAUCCUCCUGCCUUAGCCUCCCCAGUAGCUGGGAUUACAGUGUGCACCAUUGUUAGUUGUUUUGAUAUGGGUGGGUCUCACUAUGUUGCCCAGGUUGGUCUCCAACUCAGAGCUCAAGUCAUUCUCCUGCUUUAGUUACUGGAGUUGCUAGGACUACAGGUGUGCCACCGCAUCGGGCUAACCUGCCUUUUUUCUUUUUUUUCUGAAAUUUUCUUUCUUUUUUUAAUUUAUUGCCUUUUUUUUUUCCCUUUUGUACCAGGGAUUGAACCCAGGGACACUUAACUAGUAAGCCACAUCCCUAACCCUUUUUAUAUUUUAUUUUGAGACAGAGUCUAGCUAAGUCAGCUAGAGCCUUUUUUUUUUAAAGAGAGAGAGAGAGAGAAUAUUUUAAUAUUUAUUUUUUAGUUUUCAGCGGACACAACAUCUUUGUUUGUAUGUGGUGCUGAGGAUCAAACCCAGGCCGCACGCAUGCCAGGCGAGCGCGCUACCGCUUGAGCCACAUCCCCAGCCCCCAGCUAAGGUCUUGAUACAUCGCUGAGUUGGCUCUGAACUUGUGAUCCUCCUGCCUCAACAUUUUGUUACCAAAACCUCGGGUCCUCAUCCCUGAUGCCAAUUCAUGCCAAUUUAAUAAAGAGGACACAGUUUAGAGAAAAAGGAAAAAGAAGCUUCAUCGCUUUGCUAGCAAAGGAGAAACACAGGGAACUCCACUCCCAGAAGCUGUAGUUCUGCCAGUCAGGGAAAACAGGGCUUUUAAAGAAGCUAUUCAAAGGCUACCUUCCAGGUGUGCCCUGAUAGUGUGUUGAAAUUCACUUGUUAAUUUGGGAGAUAGUCACUUCCAAAGAUCUUCAGGUGAUGUCUCUUUCCUGUGGAGGACAGAUAACUCAAGGUAAUCUUUCAGCUCCUGGGUUAGGGAGGGGGAGAGAGGGAAGAGGAAAAGAAAAACAUCCUUUUAUAUAUGUUCUUUUUGUUGUUGAUGGGCCUUUAUUUUGUUUAUUUAUUUAUAUGUGGUGCUGAGAAUUGAACCCAGUGCCUCACACAUGCUAGGCAAGCGUUUAACCACUGAGCCACAACCCCAGCCCCAAGAAAAACAUCCUUUUUAAAAAAUAUUUCUUGUAGUUGUCGAUGUCUUUUUUUAAAAUAAGAAGCAAAGGCUAUAUUUCAAAAGGUGAUGUGGACCACUGUUACACUCCUGAGCCGCUGGGACUCAGGCAUGCACUAUCGUGCCCAGCGAAACUGCUCUUUUAGAUUCCUGAGUUAAAUGAAUAUUACUGUCAAAGACUCCAUAUUGCUUCAGAGCAGAUCUUUACUACAAGGUCAGAGUUGAAACUGGGCAGCGCUGGUCAGAAUUCCUCUUAGAUGCAUCUUGGGUCCCUCACUUAACUCUCAGCGAACAUGGUUUCCUCACUCCAAGUGGGACAAGGGCAAGGAAGGGGUGGUUUCCAAACGAAAGCAGAUGCUGCAGUCAAUUCCAGGGUCAUUUAUAAACAUCUGCACCCUUACUAACCUACAUGCUUAUUUGUGAUCUACUCAUGUCAAUCCCUCAGUUGGUAAUCCACGAACCCUUACUGCCACAGUGAACUUCAUUUCCGUCUUCUGCAGUAGGAAACAGAGAUCGAAUGGGAAACUGUCCCACUGUCCUUCCAACAAAAGAAAACCAGCCAUUAUAAAGCUAAGGAGUGCUAGGCAUGGUGACAAGCUGCGUUACUUCUCAUAAUAACUUCUUUUACUUAUUUAGCCAUGUCUGAGAUUGAACCCAGGGCUUUGUGCAUGCUAGGCAAGCACUCUACCACUGAGAUUCAUUCCCAACCCUUUUAAUGUUAUUUUUAAAAUUUUGAGACAGGGUAUAGUUAAAUUGCCCAGGCUGACCUCAGUCUUGUGAUCCUCCUGCCUCAAUCCCCCAAGCACCUGGGAUUACAGGCAUGUGCCACUACACACUGGCUCCCAUAAUUUCUGUAACCUUCCCCAAGCCAUUGUUUUGCCUGUAGAAAAAUGGAAACAAGUCGAAUGUGGUGGUGCACACCUGUAAUCCCAGCAAUUUGGGGAGGCUGAGGCCAGAGGAUCACAAAAUCAAGACCAGCUCACAAGUUCAAGACCAUCUGGGGAUGUAGCUCAGUGGUAAAGUGCCAGUACCGAUAAAUAAAUUAAGAAGUAGAAGAAGAAAAGAAAACCGAGAACAGCAGAGCAGACCUCCUACUUCUGUGAUGUGAACCUGAGGUAACUGUAAAUCAUCGCCACAAUGCCAUGUACUUAGUAAACACCCAAUAAUUACUAGAUGACUUUUGUUUUGCUGUUUUGUUUUUUGUGGUGCUGGAAAUGGAAUCCAGGGCUUCAUUCAUACUAGACAAGUGCCAUGCCUCUGAGCCACCCCAGCUCACACCAGCAAUUAUUUAACAUAAAUUAGCCCCUUCAAAGAAAGGCUGGAUAUGGGCCUGAGGUCUGCUCAGGGGAAGAAGAGCAGAGCGCAGGGAACUGGCCUGGCUGGUAUGGGCCUGUGGGAUUUCCUCCUCCCCACCAUCCACAGGCCUGUUUUCUGAUAUUUCUGACUUCUAGUACUUUUACCCUCCUGCCUAGAUAGUUCCUUGGCUUUUUUGUGUCCAGAUCCUGAAGGGUUUCAGUCUCCCCUCCCCUUCUCUGGAGGUUAAGAUUCCCCCAUCUACAUAGGGCCCUCCAUACAGCUCCAAAUUACAAGGCACAAAGGACCUGAAAGAUUGGGCCAGUCCUCUCAUUAUUCUGAUUAGAAACAGUCCCAGAGGUGGCGUGAUUUGCCCAAAGUCCAGCAACUUCCUGGAACUAGAAACCAAUCUGAAGCCAGCCAUGUUGGUGUUCCUCCCGCGGAUAUCAGGUUACCUCAGAGCCUUAGGGUCUGCUUUUGAAAGGAAAAGAGAGGUCAUGCGGGAGAACCAUGGAAGGAAAAAUGUUUUGGAUUUGGUAACUGCUUAUGGGGGUGGGGUGAAAGGUUGAAGGUGAUUCAGGUGUCACCUGCCCCCCCCAACUCCAAAAAUAAGCCAAAUGCCUAAUGUAGGGUAGGCACUUAAUAAAUACUUGCUACACGGAUGACUGCAUGACUGGAUGCACUUCAUUCCAUCAGAGAGAACAGGGGGAUUUGUGGAGCCAAGCCCCACCUGGGAGGCAUGGUCUAAGUUGCCCAGGCUGGCCUGGCACUUGCCAUGCUCCUGCUGGGAUUACAGGCAUGCACCACCAUGACCAACUGGGACUUCUGAGGAUCAAAGUUAACUGCCAGGGAUGAAGAGUGGUGAAGAAAUGGAGACAGCAGGGGAGCCCAGGAGUGGGAAGAAGGAAGCUGGGGCUCUCUGGGAAGAGAGCAGGGGUGAGAUGGAAGCGCUACUCCACGGUGACCAAUAAAGAUGGCCACUCUGAGCCAAAAACAGCUCCUGCUCUUGACCCACUGAGCUCUUUCACAAACCAGCCCGACAGAAGAACUGAUUUACAAAUGUUUACAGACAGUUUUAUUUACUAAUCUAGUUCUCAUUUACUCUCAGUUAAAUUUAUAGUCCUAAUUAUAGUCAUCAGCACUUUCUUGAUAAUAAAUAUACAGGAUGUUU